UACAGAGGUCUCGAGCGUUUGUUCGGAUUCAUUGGGCGUAAAGGGCGCGUAGGCGGCGGGGCAAGUCGGGUGUGAAAUCUCAGAGCUCAACUCUGAAACUGCACUCGAUACUGCUUUGCUUGAGGACUGGAGAGGAGAUUGGAAUUCACGGUGUAGCAGUGAAAUGCGUAGAUAUCGUGAGGAAGACCAGUGGCGAAGGCGGAUCUCUGGACAGUUCCUGA
rnacentral:rRNA from 1 species